AUGGAGAUGAUUAUUAUUUCCCAAAUGAUCGAUGCUGAAUAAACUAAGCGAUCUUCUCUUUGGAGAUUGCAAGCCACAAAUCUGAUCCAU
rfam:Populus trichocarpa scaffold_7_contig_13, whole genome shotgun sequence.